AGUGAACGCUGGCGGUAGGCCUAACACAUGCAAGUCGAACGGCAGCACAGUAAGAGCUUGCUCUUACGGGUGGCGAGUGGCGGACGGGUGAGGAAUACAUCGGAAUCUACUUUUUCGUGGGGGAUAACGUAGGGAAACUUACGCUAAUACCGCAUACGACCUACGGGUGAAAGCAGGGGAUCUUCGGACCUUGCGCGAUUGAAUGCGCCGAUGUCGGAUUAGCUAGUUGGCGGGGUAAAGGCCCACCAAGGCGACGAUCCGUAGCUGGUCUGAGAGGAUGAUCGGCCACACUGGAACUGAGACACGGUCCAGACUACUACGGGAGGCAGCAGUGGGGAAUAGUAGACAAUGGGCGCAAGCCUGAUCCAGCCAUACCGCGUGGGUGAAGAAGGCCUUCGGGUUGUAAAGCCCUUUUGUUGGGAAAGAAAAGCAGCAGGUUAAUACCCCGCUGUUCUGACGGUACCCAAAGAAUAAGCACCGGCUAACUUCGUG
rnacentral:rRNA from 1 species